GACGGAGGGAGCAAGCGUUGUCCGGAUUUACUGGGCGUAAAGCGCGCGUAGGCGGCCUGUUAAGUCGGUUGUGAAAGCGCUGGGCCUAACCCAGCAAUGGCAGUCGAUACUGGCAGGCUCGAGUUCGGGAGAGGGAAGCGGAAUUCCUGGUGUAGCGGUGGAAUGCGUAGAUAUCAGGAAGAACACCGGUGGCGAAGGCGGCUUCCUGGACCGAUACUGACGCUGAGGCGCGAAAGCUAGGGGAG
rnacentral:rRNA from 1 species